ACUCCUACGGGAGGCAGCAGUGGGGAAUAUUGCACAAUGGGGGGAAACCCUGAUGCAGCCAUGCCGCGUGUGUGAAGAAGGCCUUCGGGUUGUAAAGCACUUUCAGUAGGGAGGAAGGUAGUGUAGUUAACACCUGCACUAUUUGACGUUACCUACAGAAGAAGCACCGGCUAACUCCGUGCCAGCAGCCGCGGUAAUACGGAGGGUGCGAGCGUUAAUCGGAAUUACUGGGCGUAAAGCGCAUGCAGGCGGCCUGUUAAGUCAGAUGUGAAAGCCCGGGGCUUAACCUCGGAAUUGCAUUUGAAACUGGCAGGCUAGAGUCUUGUAGAGGGGGGUAGAAUUUCAGGUGUAGCGGUGAAAUGCGUAGAGAUCUGAAGGAAUACCAGUGGCGAAGGCGGCCCCCUGGACAAAGACUGACGCUCAGAUGCGAAAGCGUGGGGAGCAAACAGGAUUAGAUACCCUGGUAGCGUCGUC
rnacentral:rRNA from 1 species